rnacentral:pre_miRNA from 1 species
UGUGUACUCCCUCCGUUCCAAAAAACUUGACUUCCAUUUGUCCAAAAGUGGAUGUACCUAUAUACUAAAACAUAUCUAGAUACAUAUAUAUUUUGACAAAUAGAAGGCAUGUAUUGUGCAACGGAGGGAGUAGAAU